UUUAGAUCCACUAAAUAACCCGUCGCUUACAGAACAAGCUAGCUAACAAAUCAUCGCACACCGCCUCAAAAUAAGGACCGCGUCCAGAUUACGUGACCGACUCUGAUCGGCUUCCAGAUUAACCGACUAUGUGAUUAAAAAUAAAUCCUAUACGCAAUCACAAUUUAAUCUCAGCCUUUCAUCUCAUUCGUCCUUUCUAUAAAACCUCCGUAUUUUCAAACGCUUCGGGUUAUGGGCGCUCUGUGAUUUUGGUUUUUUGUCUAGUUUCUUCUGGCAAUUUGUUUUUCCUCGUCUGUUCGAUCUCUGUAUCUUUUUGGUUUGAUUGAUAUUUUAUGUAGUUUGCUAUCGGUUUGUGUAUGUUUUGGUUCGUAUGUGCGUAGAAUAUUUCGGUGCGUAGAAUAUUUCGGUGCGAAGAGAACAGUUGGUAUUGAUUUGAUUGGUAUUGCAAAUCGGUGAGGGGUGUUUCUUCUUUUCUCCAUACCUGGUUUUUGUUUCCAAGUUAUUUGCUGAAGAUCUAAUGUCUAGACUUAUUCCGAUGGCUUUCUUGGUUGGUUUGGAUUUGUUAGAUUGUUUACAUUUUGGUAGAAAUCUUUCUGGUUGUUUUGUGGUGCUAGGUUUUGGAAUAAGCGGAAUCGAAGCUUGAGUACAAAGGAUUAUUCGUGGUUAUUUUGGCUUUCUGUUUGAUUGAGGCAAAUUGUGUUUUGAUAUUGCAUUGCCAUGUAGUUUCGCUCGGAGUCUGAUGAUUGUUUAAUUGAUUUCAGCUCUAGUAGGAAACAGAGUUUGAUUCAGUUUGAUUCAUGAUAUUUUAAGGUGUGCUACGACAGUGGUGGCGGUGGUUUGAUAAUCGAUUUGAUCUGAUCUUAAGUUUUGGAUUAUUCAAUUUUUCCCCUUCAUAUUUUUUAAUCCAACACGUUACCACAAAGACCUUCAAUUUUGGUGGUUCCUAAAUUAGUUUCUUCUCUCUUUUAAUUGACGUGUUAUUACGAGGAUUAGUGGUUUGUGGUGUGAUUUCCAGGAUCAAGACUGUUUUUGCGGAUGAAUCCUAUAUGCAUGGUGAAUCAUGUUGGCAGGGUUGUCAGGGAGAUUCUUUACCCCUUCGUUUUGUGCGGCUGUCAAUUAAAUUUAUAUAUCUCUGUUUAGGAAGCACGUAGAACUAGUUUCUGACUUGUAUGUUUGCAUGUGUUUCCAGCUUUUUAUUUGAGGAAGAUGUUGACUGGGAAUGAUCAAGGAGUUUUCUUUCCCUUUCUUAUAUUGAUUCUCUCCCCUUUAUGAGUAGAACCCCUCAGUGAACAGGAAGUCGUUGCCUGAGCUUUUGGUUUAAGAUGUUCAAAUUCUUUUUAAGAAGAAUGUGAGCUUCCGAUGCUUGCUUUUGCAGGAUAAAUUGGCUUCACAUGUUCAUAGAUGAACUCGUCAAGUUGUUGAUACAAUGGUAUUCUGCCCGUAAUCCCAUAAAUUAUUCUUCUUGUGUUGGUUGGUAUUGUGCAUUAUGCCAAGGUUAAUGUCUUAAUCAAAGAUGUACUUAAUCAAAGAUGAUUGGCAAGGGAGUGUCUAUUGUCCUUUGCUCAUGUUAUGUUUUGUGUAGUAGUCCGAUAUUCAGUUGUGCUUCUGCUUUUGAUGUUCUCAAAUUCUUCCUGCAGUUUCUGUUUUCAGUCAAGGAUACAGUACAGAGCAAGUCUUAAAUAUCCUGGUGGAUUUUCUUUUUACCUGUUUUUAUUGGUUCACAUAUAUUUUAUUUGUUUCUUUGCAAAUAGAUCUGCAACUUGAGUUUUGCUGCUUGUUUGUAGGUGGUUUGUGCCUUAUUUUGACUAUUUCGACUAAGAUGGAUCAAGGGGUUUGCUCAGAUCUUAAUCUAAAAUUCAUGAUUUUAUGUGUCUGGUGGUGGUAGAUUCUGAGAGCUAGUUGGACUAAUAUUGUUGAUUGUGGAGGGUUUGUGGAGACACAAAUUAUAAGGACUUACUUUUUGCGUUAAUUUGGUUGGCUUUAUGAAUGCCGGUUGGAUGCUUGCAUCUUCUUCCCAUUUGUGAAGAGGCUUGAUCAAGAGGACUUUUGUGCCUUAGUUUUUGGUUGAAAGUUUUCUACUUAAGAACAAGAUAUGCGGUCCAUCUACCUGUCUUUUUGACUUGUCUUUUUCCUUUUUGUUUUUAGAAUUUUUGUUGAUAGCAGUAUUUUAUGCUUCUUGAUCACAAUUCACUGAGCUUGGUUGUGGUUCUCAUCAAUUGGUUUGAGAAUAUUAAGGAAGUCUCUCUCUUUAGUUAUUAGGUUUAAAAUUCUUUAUUUAGAUUAAUAAUAAAAAAAGGAAAUGUGAGCUUCUGAUUCUUGUUUUCUCAGGAUCAUUGAGAAAUUCGUGGACAUGGGCAAAGAUUGAUCUAGGAAGUGUUUCGUACAAAUAUGCCGUACAUAAGUUUUUUUUUUUUUAAUUUUUUUUGGUUUGCUCAUAUUAUAUACGGCAAGUUUAAGGUGUUAAUCAAAGCUGCAAUGUUGUACUUGUCUAGGUUAAUUGGCGUAUUAUGUCCUAAGCUGCAAUGUUGGUCUGAGUUUUAUUCUUUUUUUUUUUUUUAAUAUCCUUUAAUUGGCUUUUUUCUGGUUUUUGUUCCUGCAGAUUUAUUUCCAUGGUUGCAAUACAGAUUGUGCCAAAGCUUUUCUAUUUCUAUUUUGUAUUAUUGCAAUUUUUCCUCUAUACGCAUAACCUCAAAUUUGUCGGUCUUUAAAUUAGUUUCUUCUCUCUUUCAAGUGGCAUGUUAUUUGAGAAUUGGUGGUUUGUGGCAUGUUUAUGAGGAUUUAACCUAAAAUCGUUUAGAGUAGAGAAAGCGAAUCCAUAUAGCCGACCCCAAAUUUUUGGAAUAAAGGCUUAGUUGAGUUGAGUUGAGUUGAGUUGGUGGUUUGUGGCAUGAUUUACAGGAUCAAGGAGUGUUUCUAUGAAUGAAUCCUAUAUGCAUGGUGAAACCUAUUGGCAAGCUUCAGUGUGAGCUGAGUGUUCUUUCAGUGAGUUGUUUUGUCAGCUUGUGGAUGGGCAUGAACAAGAAGUGUUUGCUCGAGUGUUUGGUUUAAGAUGUGCAAAUUUUUUUUACUUGGGACUUCUUCUCUUUUUUUUUUUUUAAUGUCCCUUUUGUCCUCUCUCUCAAAUUCAUUGCUUUUAUUGGGUUGGAAAGGCAAAUUUUUCUUUGAUUUUAAUUGCACACUUGUACUCUUUCUUGAGUUCUACAUCCUCUCUUCAUUUUGCUUAUGCAUUUUGCUUCCUCAAAAGGGAAAGGUGGGUAAAGGCUAGGGGCUAGGUAAAUAAUAUGGGUAAGCAAUAAAUUUUAGAGGAUAAACAUAGGCUUCAAGUUGGCUACAAGGGAUAUACAUUUUAAUUAGGGGUAGUUAAGGCUUAGUGAGCCUAUAUCAAAGAAUACCUUAAUAAUUUCUUCAUCAAGCAUAUGCUAGGAUUUCGCCUUGAUAGGUCCAAGAGAUAUGUUUUAGAGCUAGUGAGGUAUUUUUUUAGGUUUGCUUGUAUUUCAAAAAUUGUUCUCCUAACUUUACAAGUUCAAUGUGAUAAAUUAAUAGUUAUGAAGAGGUUUAACUAGUCUAGUUCCAUUAAAGAGAUUAGUUUCUUCACAAACAACAUAUUAGAAUCCUUUUUUGCCUAUCUAGAUAUGUUCAUUCCUCUAUUUCGUGGAGUCCAAUUAUUAGCUAAGUUUCACAAUUUAAAGUCUAAAAUUUUUCAAAAAUUUUAAUACACAAGAAUAAUUCAGUUGAAUUUAAACAAUGUAAUGAUGUGCAUGUAAUGAUAUGCAAAUGCAAUGAUAUGCAAUGCACUUGUAUCCCCCCCCAAACUCAAACCAGACGUUGUCCUCAAUGUACUAUAGUCCUAGCUCUAAAAGGUCUCUGAUGGUGAUGAUGGCAAUGCUGGCUCUCCUCCUCAUCAUCUAGCUUCUCCAUUAGCAUGUCCAAUUUGUUGUGGGCUUCCUGGAGGCUGUCCUCGAUUGCUCGCAUUCUGCUGUAUAUUGUGGUCUCCAUGCGCUGUAGGUAUGCGAGGACCGGAUCUAUUGGUGGCGGUGUGUAUGGAGGCACUCGAACGGGGGACUCUUGAAACAUCCGCUCUUUGCCUUCUUUUUUAGGCUGUGAAGUCUCGCCAAGUCCUCGUGCUUCGUCUCUUUGAGAGAUGGUGUUUCCUUCGGCAUCCAGCAGGUAGCAUGUGUUGCCCACCUUCUUACAUAUCACCAUGUGUUGCCCACCUUCUUACAUAUCCCCAUGGAUAUGCAGAUAGUUUGAUCUGUUCUUGACGUUCCAGUGACAGAGCGCAGCCUGUGAUAUCCUGGAACGAAGCCGAAGUGGAGGGCAAUUGUUGUGACAAGGCCACCAAGCACGAUAUGCCCGGUAGACUGAUGACAGAGGUGUCGAAGAUGGUUGCACAAAAAGAAAUCGAUGCUGUAGCGCUGUCCGGUGACCCGAUGAUGGUGUGGGCGGCGAACUGAUGCAUAUAGCGCUGGGCUGGACUUGUGAUGCCCGUGGAUUUGGACUUGCUGGAGUUAUAUGGCUUUGUGUUCGGGGUAAUGGAACUCUAGAAGUUGAUGUUGUUGUACAGCAUGUGGUUCCUAGGGAUCUCCUGGUGGUCGGCACUGUCAAAACCGAAGAUGGCGUUGAACUCAUCUAUGUUCAUCACCUGGUCGACACCAAGGAGGCGAAAUUCAAUCUUGCCCCUAUCCUCCCUGUCGGUAGGCCAUAAGGUGGCCUUGAAACUGCACAGGGUAUGCUGAAAAUUGGAGUUGGGCCAACCUUGUCCACUCGACGCUAUCAAGUAGCCCAUUGAUAUCAUUUUGCAGCCCGAUUUGCUCCAGCAGCAAAAAAUCUAUGUAUUUGGUGUAGCUUAUUUUCCAGGUGUGAAGUCGGGUGCACAUUGCCUUAUGGGCAUCGUCACGGAAUCCCCAAGGAAUGGAGAUUUCGGGUUGUGGAGUGACUUGUGGUUGGGUUGCGGUGGAGAAUGGGCUGGUUGAGAUGGUUGGGGAGAGACUAUCCUUGUUCUUGGGGCAACGAUGGAGGCUGAGGUGGAGAAGAUGAGGAUUCUCCUCUUUGCCUCUAGGAAGAGCCGAUUCUUCUUGUAGAUCGCUUUGCAGGAGCCAUUGAUGAGUUUUUGAGGAGGAGAAAAGUAGGGUUUUGGUGAAGAGAGAUGAGAUUUGAGGGGUUUUUAUAGGCUAGGGGGGUGAAGAUGAAGGGUUUCGCCUUUAUGAAUGGUUUUAAUGCUAUGGGUGCAUUUAAAGAGCCGUUAGGACUCUUUGUUUUGCUCGUUUCGUGCCCCAGGAGUCGCGUCUGCAACAUGAUGCACGGGUAAGUGUAUCACUACACGGGUCCCGACGUGUAGGGCCGUGUAAAUUUCUGCCUGAAAAUUUUAAAUUCUAUCGUAGUACACGGCCCGUGUAAAUGAGCUCUGGGACCCGUGUAACUUUCUUUCUCCCAAGUUGCUUUACUGGAUACGUUACACGGCCCGUUUCAAAUAGAAGGAGGCCCGUGUAACUCCCUGGCUUUAAGUUAUUCUGCUAGAGACAGUACACGGUCCAUGUAAAUUGGGCUAUGGACCCGUGUAACUUUCUGUCUCCCUCAGAGUUAAAAAUGCAAGUAAUUGUCUUCUUUCUGGUUUUUACCUGCAAACUUUAUUUCCAUGGAUGCAAUGCAGAUUGUGCCAAAACUUUUCUAUUUCAAUUUUGAAUUAUUGCAAUUUUUCCUCUAUUCUUUAAUCCAACAUGUUACCACGCAUAACCUCAAUUGUCGUGAUUUUUAAAUUAGUUUCUUCUCUCUUAAGUGACAUUAUAUUAUUAGAAUUGGUGGUUUGUGGCGUGAUUUCCAGGAUCAAAGAGUGUUUCUAUGGGUAAAUCCCAUAUGCAUGGUGAAACCUAUUGGCAGGGUAGUAGAGAGAGAUUUUUUACCUCUUUGUUUUGUGUCUGUCAAUUAAAUUUAUAUAUCCCUAUUUAUUAGGCACAUAGAAUUAGUUUCCGAGUUUGUAUGUUUGCAUGAGUCUAGCUUUUUUAUUUGAGGAAAAUGGUGACUAUGAAUGAUCAGGCAGUUUUCUUAUGCCUUCUAAUAUUCAAUUCGCUCUCUUUUAUGUUAGUAGAUUCCUUGAGUGAAUGUUGUUUUGAUUUUUUUAGUGCCUUUCCUUGAUUCCAGUGUUUUGAGAAAUCAUACCAUGGAGCAUAGUGAGAUCAUUUCAUAAUAUCGGUAAUUUAGUGGUCUGCUUUGUAAUGCUUGGCUAUGAGCUUGCACUUACUUUUCCAAAGACUCCAUUAUCUAAAAAGAAUUUGGUCCAUUAACUUUAGCAAUUAUUUGAUAAAGAUUAAUUUCUAGUUUCCCUGUGCCCUAAUCGUUAUUUUAUUCUGCUUGGUGUGAGCUUGCAUGUUGUUCCAGAAACUCCCUAAUUGUUUUGAGAAUAUGUGGACAAACCUUCCUGAAUAGUUUUAACAAUUUUUUACUUAAAAGAAAGAAUUUAUAGAACUUCUAUUUGAUAUGUUGGCCAUAAUUUCUUGUUAUGAACACAUCAAGUUUAAGGUGAUAAGUUGGAGCUUGCCUUCUGUAUGUCUCUUGGGUCCCAUUGGCUGCAUAGAUAGAGAUUAUUUAUGACUGCUGCUUUCAGCCUUAAUUCCAGUUCUUCUUGAUUGCGGCUUCAGCAUGCUCAGUUCUUUCAGUGAGUUGUUUUAUCAGCUCGUGGAUGGGCAUGAAUAGGUAGUGUUUGGUUUAAGAUGUACAAAUUUUUUACUUGACAACAAGAAUGUGAGCUUCGCAUGCUUGCUCUUGCUGGAUAAAAAUUGAUGGCUUCACAUGUAUGAAGAUCAACACCUUAAGUGUUUGAUACGAUGAUAUUCUGCCCAUAAUAUCGUGUUGGAUUUUCUUUUAGUGUCUUUAUUGGUUAACAUAUAAUUUUAUAUGUUUCUUGGCAAAUGGAUCUGAAACCUGAGAUUUUCUGCUUAUUUGUAGGUGAUUUGUGCCCUAUUUUGACUACUUGGACUAAGAUGGAUCAAAGGGUUUUCUCAAAUCGUAAUCUAUAAUUUAUGAUCUUAUGUGUCUGUGGUGGUGGUAGAUUCUGAGAAUUGGUGGCAAUUUUUUAGGAUUCCAUCAAUAUAGAGGAUUAAUGUUUUGAUCAAUUGUGGAGGGUUUGUGGAGAAAUAUAUUGAAGACUUUUUUUUUUGGCAUACAUUUGGUGUUGGCUUCUUUGAUUACAGCUUGGAUGCCAGCUUGCGUCUUCCUCCAGUGAGAAUAUGUUCAAAGGCUUGGUCAGGAAGUCUCUUGUGCAUCAUGGUAUUUCAUGCUUCUUGAUCACAGUUCAGUGAGCUUGAUUAUUGUUGUCAUUCAUUGGUUUGAGAAAAUAUAGGAAGUCAAACCCUUUAGUUGUAAGGCUCUAAAAUAAAUUCUUUACUUGAAAAAAAAGUGAGCUUCUGGUUCCUGUUUUCUCAGGAUCUAAGACUGCAUUGAGAAAUUCAUUGACUUGGGCUAAGAUUGAUCUGUGUUUUGGUUUAUGAUUGAAAGGGAUGUUUGAAUCGAGUUGGUAUGCUUUAUUUUGCACAUGUUUUCAGGGGUUCUAUGUUUUGAAUUCAUAUGAGAGGUCCUUCUAAUAAGAUCUUGGUGCCCUUUUUUUGGGAGUCUAGUGGUUUUGAGCAAUUAAAUGGUGCCCUUUUUUUUGGAGUCUAGUGGCUUUGAGAAAUUAAAAGCCAUUGAUAGAGCAACGAACUUUUCCUUUCCUUUAUUUAGUGAGUAUGAGUGUACGUUUUAUCAAUAACUCUUUGCCUUAGUUAUCUGUCUUUCAAGAAUAUUGUGUGUAAUCUGUGAAUGGAACAUGACUUCUUGCUUUUAAGGGAUACAGAGCAUUAUUGUUAGAAUAUGAUCCUCUAUCCGAAUCUUAUGAUUUGAUUCAAUUUUUGUCUUAACGAUUCAAAUCUGUGGGGUGGAUCUCAAAUGUGCUUGAAUCUUAACUAAAUCUUUUGAUUGAAUAGUGAAUCAAUAUGAAUCUAUCGAUUUGGUCGAUUUUUUUUCUAGAGGUUUGUUUUACAUGUAGCUUCAAAUUUUAAUACUUCAUGUUAUUUUUUUACUCUGCAACAUAAAAUUUCUCUUAGAUAUUUUUCUUUCAUUAUUCAUUUUUUUCCCUAUACAUCUUUUGGUUUUUUUUUUUUUUUUGGUUAAUAGAUACUUGUUUAAUUAUGAUAUUUUAUAUUAAUAUAUUUUGACAUUUAAUUAUCUUGCUAUCAUUUUUUAUUAUUUAAGUUAAUAUGUAUCUAUUGAUUAUUUAAUAUUCCACGUUAUUUUUUACCAUACUUAACUCAACUAAGCAUUUGUCUUAAAAAUUUAUUAGGGUCGAUUUUAUGGAUUCUUUUUCUCCACUCUAAAUGAUUUUGGGUUAAAUUCUCGGAAAUAUAUAAUGCUUCUAGGUCAUGUUGUGCUACUCUUCUUCAAGUUAGUUUAGGUUGUCCCUUUCUUUUCUUUUUAUCCUCUAACCCAAUAUACUCUACUUGUAACUGAAGUCUCCGUAUAUCUAUGCUUCACAUGACCAAACCACCUCAAUCUUCCUUCUCUCCACUUAUCCUCAAUUGGUACCACGCCUACUUUUUCUCUCAUACUCUCAUUAUGGACUUUAUCUAGUCUAGUAUGGCUACUUUUCCACCUUAACAUUCUCAUCUCCGCAACUCUCAUCUUGGACAUAUACGACUUCUUCAUUGUUUAACACUCACUAUCAUAUAAUAUGGCCAGUUGUAUGGUUGUACGGUGAAAUUUUCCUUUCAACUUAUUGGGAAUCUUCGAUCACAUAUGUAACGGACUGUGGGGACGGCGAUACGUAACGCCUGCAGGUGCCGCCCGUCCCACAUCGGAAACGGGAGAAGGGAAUCUGGGCCAUAUAUGUGGGGGUCAGCCUAAACUGGUCAGCGCGCUUUUGGGAGCGAAACCUCCCAAGGGACAAAGCCGUGAGGCCCACGGGCCAAAGCGGACAAUACUGACUGGGCUGGGCUGGGUCGUUACAAUUGGUAUCAGAGCCGGACUCCCUCCAGUACGAGUGGGUGCGAGGACGCCCCCAGCGGAAGUUGGUGGGUUGUAACGGACUGUGGGGACGGCGAUACGUAACGCCUGCAGGUGCCGCCCGUCCCACAUCGGAAACGGGAGAAGGGAAUCUGGGCCAUAUAUGUGGGGGUCAGCCUAAACUGGUCAGC